GGGCAUUUGGCUCAGUGGGAAGAGCGUUCGCUCUCAAUCGAUUGACGACCAUGGGUCCCAGGUUCGAUUCUGGGACGGAUCC